UUCGGGGGUCAGCGGCGUCAGCAACGUUGAUCAGGUGCCGGAAGUGUAACUAUGCCAACCGCGAGGCCCUAGUGCGGAUCACGUGACCCAUUCCCGACGGUGGAUGUGUGGUUACCUUUACCUCUCCAGCAGAAGAAGACCUCUCCAGGAGGGUGCUGCCACGGGUUGGAGAAAAAAACAUUUAGCAAUGAAGACAUCCAAACACUUUCAGACAACUUCAAUCAAAACGACCAUUAUUCAGGGAGAACGUGAACUCAUUUGCUAAGAAAGAAAUAUCUGAGAACCAUAACUUGGCCACAGUGAAGAACCGUCACAAAUCAAAAAAGUCUCUAUGAACAUAAAGGUGACUUCUCGUCAUAGUCCAGGAAUACCGGCCCCAUGGAGACAAGAUCCCACACCAUAACGCCAUUUUCACCAGCCUGGACUGUUCAUACCUGAAAGGAAGGGUUCAUUGAUCCAUCUUGCUUCUGCCAAAUUGUGACCCUCCCAUCAGCAUGGUACCACAGAGAUUUGGGUUCAUCUGACAGGUACACAUCUACGCAUUUUAGGCCCGGAUUGAGCCCUUUUUCCAGCAUAAUGAUCAUCACCCCCACCGAUCAGAAGAACGAGCCAAGAUAAGUGUAUUACUCCCCAGAUCUCAGCAACCUUUGUCUCACUUCUACAUUAUAAGUCUAAGGGGCAAAUAGACAAAGAUCAGAGACCCCGACUGAUCAAAACUUCUUACAUUUCUCUUUGACGUGUCAAAAUUCUUUUUAAGUGACAGUGCCCAUCCAGCUGCCCAUACACAUUAGAUUUAAAUCCUCUAAAUCUGCCAACUAGAAGCGCUAGACUUGGUAUUGUCAUCCCCUAAGUAGUGACAAUUCAUCCCAGAUCUAUGUAAGAAAAUUCAACAUUGCCACUCUACAAGCUGCACCCAGUCUUCAGCUUCUAAGCUGAUUUAUGACCAAAUCAAAGGAGACCUUUUGAUCUGGUCAUAAAUCAGCUUAGAUCAGGGGUUCUCAACCCGUGGUUCGCGUACCCCUAGGGGUACGCCACAGGUUGUUCGGGGGUACAGCAAUGCGCUGACAAAUACCGGCCAUGCAUUGUACCGCGGCCGGAGCUGCUGCUGUGGCUACUUUAUGUAAGCUGCGUGGUUGCCGGGCCUGACGUGUGACAUCUCUGACGUUGUGCGGAGGUGCCGCACAGCGCAGGAUGACAUCACCCGUCAGUGCGGCCCCGCUGAACAGGACAUUCAGACAGAGACACAGGCCGGGUAAUAAUGUUAAAAGUAAAGUGUAUGGGAGGGAGGUAUGUUAUUGUAUGUAUG